CCCUCUGAGUUCCUCAGUCACACUGCCAUGGAAGGUGCAGCCUGGCAGGAGAUUGCCAAUAUUCUGGUGUUUUUCCUGUCCCCCAUGUGUCACUUUUUUACCAUCCCAGCAAGGCUGAUGCCUACACUGGUACAUCUUAGGUGGGGCUCUAGUUCGGUGAGAAUUUGUCACAUUUUUAAAACACCUCAUCUUUGGAGCAAGUGGUGAGGAAUUGUUCUCAUCCCAUCUCAAACCAUCUCAUGGUCUGGCUGCUGAGCCCAAAGCACAGAGGUACCUUGACAGUGGCAGUGCCUGCUGGACUCAGUGAGGAAGGACUGACAAAAUUCUGCUGGCAAACAGACUGAGCAGAUGCAGACGGAAUUGUGAGGCUUGAACUGCACCUAUAACUCAUUACAAGGCAGACUCUGCCAGAGAUUCCUGCUGGAAUGGGACUGAUCCAUCCUGGUACCUAGGCCUGUAGUGAACUCAGGGUGAGAGCUGCUCCUUUCUCCUCCAAGGGUGUUCUCAGUCCACACAGUGGGGAUUGUUUUCUCCAGAACAACCCCUUUCCUGCAGUGGGGUGAUUAAAAACACGUGGCUGAGCUGCCAGUCUGCCUCUGAGCAGCUCAACCUUGUGUCUGCUGCAUCUGAAACUGUUGCUGUGUCUUUCAAAGCAAGAAUUCAAAACAUUUCUU